UUACAAAAAUAUAGAACUUUCCUUGUCGAAAAGUCGCGUUGCGAUUCUUGACUGGCCGGAAAUGCCUGGCGUUUUUUCCCUUGUGCUAACGGUGUAGUCCUGUCAUCGUCUUUCUCACCUCCAAGAAUGACUCUCUCUCCUAACUACAGUACCACGAGCUCGUCGCUCUCUGCCUUUGAUUUUUCUGCUGGACCUUCCCCAAAUCGAACUAGUUUCUUUGCUUCAGCAUAAUCAAACGGCUUCGGCAGCUCCAGGCCGGUUGGAUCAUGAGAUUUCUCUGCAUUUUUGUUGGCUUUACUCUGAUUGAUGGAGAGGAAGCACUUUUGGAAGCUCGAAGAACUCUGUAUCCAUUUGGUAAAUUCCUCAGUGUGCUCUCGUGGGCGCGUUGGAGGUGUUCAUGUAUAUCGGUCAGUUAGGGUUUUUUAUCGGGCAAGCAGGAUGGUAUGAAAAGCUUCGGAGGAAAUUCAUAUUGUAACGCUACCUUCGAGCUAUUUCACUUGCUUUCUCAGGCAGCCUCAAGGUUUCUUGAUAAACUUGUAACCUUGAUAAACAGUAAAUCUCGCGCUUUCAAUUUCUCGAGCACGACACAAGUUGUGAGUGACAAGGAUGCUUAAGAGAAUGUCAUUGUUAUCCAGUCAGUUCCUAGAGCAAGUAGCAGUCACAUUGUGUCAGCUUAUAUGGAGAUUCAUCAAGGUAUGCCAUAUACGCCUCUAGGGUCUCGAAUUUCCUAAACUAUACAUCAUUCAUGUACUUCAACCAGUAGGAACAGAAAUCAGUUCUCGCAGAUUUGAUACAAGACAUAGAACCAUUAGAUGUGAGCGUCAUUCUAAGGGAUGUUCCACCUACUACCCUGGAUGCUAUGAAGAUGACUAUCUUUGGCAUGUUGGGCUUACUUCCAUCUGAUCGAUUUAAAGUCUUUAUUGAGGCUUUGUGGGAACCUCUCUCCAAGUCAUUAAUAUCUUCAAUGAUGACUGGGUUCAAGUGGUUCGCUUGCUUUGUAGAACUCCUGAGAAAGAAAGCAGGCAUGAACUGCUAUGGAGAGUGGCUGUCGACGGUAGCGCCUUUGCUAGUAAAAAUGGAACCAAAGUUCAUAUUCUAGCGGAAAAUCUAAAUGAGAUAGCCAACCAAGCAGAUGAUCUACUGGAGUUAAUGGAAACACGGCAAGUUGUUCCGGAUCAAAAACUACUUGCAAGGCUUGUACUAAUUAGAGAGGAAGCUAGGAAUAUGAUGGGAGGUGGAAUACUAGAUGAAAGAAAUGACCGUGGUUUCAGUAUUCUUCAUGAAUUUGAGGUCUGUAUUCUUCAAUAAUGAUGUAUCAUAUGAAAUAAUGCAUGCCUAGCUGAUUCUAAAUUUUAAUUGCUUUUCUUUGUCAAAAUUAAGUAUGAUAUUUUACUUUUUCAUUCUUUCAUUUUGAAUUAUGCAAUGUUAAUAUUUGAUAGUAGUGAUUUGUUUUCAGUGCCAUGAUUAUGUACCUUAUUAGUGCAGGUAAAAAAAUUAACUAAGCUAGUGGCUCUAAAACUUGGGAAGACUGGUCAAGAAAUGAUAAAAAAAAUGUAAUGCUAGGAAAAGAUGAAGGAGCGGAAAGUAGUUCAAACAGAAUUGCAGGAAAUGUUCGUUCGAUUUCACUGACGUUUGAGUCCAGGUGUAUAUUUGAUUGGAAUCAAUUUUGAUUACUUCUCCUUCCCUUUUCUUUAUUUACUUGUUCUUGAACCUGUAUCAUAUUACGCUUUAUUGUUUCAAGUAUAGUAAUCACUGCAGCUAAACUAAGCUUGAGCUGGUGACUUCUGAUGUAAGAAUUCGGUUGCCCAGUUGACGAAACAAAAAAGGAGUUGCCGUCUUUGUACAUUUCAUGCACAAUUAUGUUUUGAAAAUCGGAUUCUGAAAGUGCUCAAUUUUGAGUGACAGCUCUUGUAGAUUUUAUGAAGAUAUUUGUGGGAAAUGAUUCUGUAGCAGAAAAGACAUUCAAUGUUUUGUGAUUUCUAAUGUCGUUAUUUUUUAUGGAAUAUUUUCCGUUUUCUAAUUUUGGUGAAUAUUUUUUUGUUUGUGAUGUAAUGGAUGAAAUACUUUUGUGAUGUAAUGGAUGGAUGGAAUAUUUUCCGUUUUGUGAUGCAAUGGAUGGAAUAUUUUUUUGAUUUUGAA